rnacentral:misc_RNA from 1 species
AAGUCGUAACAAGGUUUCCGUAGGUGAACCUGCGGAAGGAUCAUUAUUGAAUGAGACUUCUGGCUGGAUGCUGUUGUGCUGGUCCUUAGGGGCAAUGUGCACACCUCUGGCUGUUUGUUUAUUCUGUUCCACCUGUGCACUGUCUGUAGACAUGCUGUGUCUAUGAUAUAUAUGUUGGUUUACACACACAUGAUGUUUUGUAUGUUGGUUGGCAUAUUACAUAUGUUUGUAUGUGAAAUAUAUAUAUACAACUUUCAACAAUGGAUCUCUUGGCUCUC